rnacentral:rRNA from 1 species
UCAGUAACGGCGAGUGAAGCGGCAAUAGCUCAAAUUUGAAAGCUGGCGCCUUCGGCGUCCGCGUUGUAAUUUGUAGAGGAUGCUUCGGCGAGGACUCCUGCCUAAGUCCCCUGGAACGGGGCGUCACAGAGGGUGAGAAUCCCGUACGUGGCGGGCGGUCCGAGCCAUGUGAAGCUCCUUCGACGAGUCGAGUUGUUUGGGAAUGCAGCUCUAAAUGGGAGGUAAAUUUCUUCUAAAGCUAAAUAUUGGCCAGAGACCGAUAGCGCACAAGUAGAGUGAUCGAAAGAUGAAAAGCACUUUGGAAAGAGAGUUAAAAAGUACGUGAAAUUGUUGAAAGGGAAGCGCUUGCAACCAGACUCGCUCGCAGUUGCUCAGCCGGCCUCUUGGCCGGUGUACUCUUCUGCGAUCGGGCCAGCAUCAGUUCGGGCGGCCGGAUAAAGGCAUCGGGAAUGUAGCACCCUUCGGGGUGUGUUAUAGCCCGGCGCGGAAUGCGGCCAGCCUGGACUGAGGAUCUCGCU